rnacentral:rRNA from 1 species
GAUGAACGCUGGCGGCGUGCCUAAUACAUGCAAGUCGAGCGAACAGACGAGGAGCUUUCUCCUCUUACGUUAGCGGCGGACGGGUGAGUAAAACGUGGAUAACCUACCCAUAAGACUGGGAUAACUUCGGGAAACCGGAGCUAAUACCGGAUAAUAUAUUGAACCGCAUGGUUCAAUAGUGCAAGACCGUUUUGCUGUCACUUAUAGAUGGAUCCGCGCCGCAUUAGCUAGUUGGUAAGGUAACGGCUUACCAAGGCAACGAUGCGUAGCCGACCUGAGAGGGUGAUCGGCCACACUGGAACUGAGACACGGUCCAGACUCCUACGGGAGGCAGCAGUAGGGAAUCUUCCGCAAUGGGCGAAAGCCUGACGGAGCAACGCCGCGUGAGUGAUGAAGGUCUUCGGAUCGUAAAACUCUGUUAUUAGGGAAGAACAAAUGUGUAAGUAACUAUGCACGUCUUGACGGUACCUAAUCAGAAAGCCACGGCUAACUACGUG